AAACCGACACAGGUAGUCGGGUCGAGAAGACCAAGGUGAGCGAGAGAACUCUCGUUAAGGAACUCGGCAAAAUGACCCCGUAACUUCGGGAGAAGGGGUGCUGAUCGCAAGAUCAGCCGCAGUGAAUAGGCCCAGGCGACUGUUUAUCAAAAACACAGGUUUCUGCAAGAUCGUAAGAUGAAGUAUAGGGGCUGACGCCUGCCCGGUGCUGGAAGGUUAAGAGGAUGGGUUAGCGUAAGCGAAGCUCAGAAUUGAAGCCCCAGUAAACGGCGGCCGUAACAAUAACGGUCCUAAGGUAGCGAAAUUCCUUGUCGGGUAAGUUCCGACCCGCACGAAAGGCGUAACGAUCUGGGCACUGUCUCAACGAGAGACUCGGUGAAAUUAUAAUACCCGUGAAGAUGCGGGUUACCCGCGACAGGACGGAAAGACCCCAUGGAGCUUUACUGUAGCUUGAUAUUGGGUGUUUGUACAACUUGUACAGGAUAGGUAGGAGCCGUAGAAGUCGGGACGCUAGUUUCGACGGAGGCAUCGGUGGGAUACUACCCUCGUUGUAUGAACACUCUAACCCACGCCGGCAAUCACGGCGGGAGACAGUGUCAGGUGGGCAGUUUGACUGGGGCGGUCGCCUCCUAAAAGGUAACGGAGGCGCCCAAAGGUUCCCUCAGAAUGGUUGGAAAUCAUUCGCAGAGUGUAAAGGCAUAAGGGAGCUUGACUGCGAGACCUACAAGUCGAGCAGGGACGAAAGUCGGGCUUAGUGAUCCGGUGGUUCCGCAUGGAAGGGCCAUCGCUCAACGGAUAAAAGCUACCCUGGGGAUAGCAGGCUUAUCUCCCCCAAGAGUCCACAUCGACGGGGAGGUUUGGCACCUCGAUGUCGGCUCAUCGCAUCCUGGGGCUGUAGUCGGUUCCAAGGGUUGGGCUGUUCGCCCAUUAAAGCGGUACGCGAGCUGGGUUCAGAACGUCGUGAGACAGUUCGGUCCCUAUCCGUCGCGGGCGCAGGAAAUUUGAGAGGAUCUGUCCUUAGUACGAGAGGACCGGGAUGGACAUACCGCUGGUGUACCAGUUGUUCUGCCAAGGGCAUCGCUGGGUAGCUAUGUAUGGAUGAGAUAAACGCUGAAAGCAUCUAAGUGCGAAACUCACCUCGAGAUAAGAUUUCCCACUCCUUUAUGGAGUUAAGACCCCUGAGAGAUGAUCAGGUAGAUAGGAUGGAAGUGGAAGUGCGGCGACGCAUGGAGCGGACCAUUACUAAUCGGUCGAGGACUU
rnacentral:rRNA from 1 species